rnacentral:lncRNA from 1 species
GCAAAUUGAAUCACCUGAAGCAGAUCGUUUUUACUGAAUCAUUUAAAGCUUCCAUUCUGUUCAUGUAUGUAUAAUACAUAAGUUGCUUACAUGCUACCUCCUAACUUUCAAUCUAAUUAACAAAGACAUAGCUAAAUAUAUAAAGAAUGUAAUAUACAUAUAAACAGAAACAUAGCGUCAAUAUACCUAAAAAUAGAAACAAGGCUCCAGAUACGUAAUAUAACAUUUGAAACACGUUAUAGGAUUAUCCCAUAAAAACAGUAGAAUGCUACACCAUAUGUGAUAUUGUAUACUUAAUGACUGGGUAUGAAAGGAUUGUAAGUUUAUUGUCCCCCGAGUUGCAACUAUUGUCCUGAGGCGUGUUUUAUUAUAUUGAAAAAGACAACAGACCAUAAAUGGCGGUGAUAAAUAGUCGUGAAUCGUAAUAUAAAAACCAGAAACCCAAAACAUAACAAACAUAAAACAUUUACACUGCGCAAGGUUGUCUUAUAUUGACGUCACCC